GCUUGAGAGAACUCGGGUGAAGGAACUAGGCAAAAUGGUGCCGUAACUUCGGGAGAAGGCACGCUGACACGUAGGUGAAGUGAUUUACUCACGGAGCUGAAGUCAGCCGAAGAUACCAGCUGGCUGCAACUGUUUAUUAAAAACACAGCACUGUGCAAACACGAAAGUGGACGUAUACGGUGUGACGCCUGCCCGGUGCCGGAAGGUUAAUUGAUGGGGUCAGCGCAAGCGAAGCUCCUGAUCGAAGCCCCGGUAAACGGCGGCCGUAACUAUAACGGUCCUAAGGUAGCGAAAUUCCUUGUCGGGUAAGUUCCGACCUGCACGAAUGGCGUAAUGAUGGCCAGGCUGUCUCCACCCGAGACUCAGUGAAAUUGAACUCGCUGUGAAGAUGCAGUGUACCCGCGGCAAGACGGAAAGACCCCGUGAACCUUUACUAUAGCUUGACACUGAACAUUGAGCCUUGAUGUGUAGGAUAGGUGGGAGGCUUUGAAGUGUGGACGCCAGUCUGCAUGGAGCCGACCUUGAAAUACCACCCUUUAAUGUUUGAUGUUCUAACGUGGACCCGUGAUCCGGGUUGCGGACAGUGUCUGGUGGGUAGUUUGACUGGGGCGGUCUCCUCCUAAAGAGUAACGGAGGAGCACGAAGGUUGGCUAAUCCUGGUCGGACAUCAGGAGGUUAGUGCAAUGGCAUAAGCCAGCUUGACUGCGAGCGUGACGGCGCGAGCAGGUGCGAAAGCAGGUCAUAGUGAUCCGGUGGUUCUGAAUGGAAGGGCCAUCGCUCAACGGAUAAAAGGUACUCCGGGGAUAACAGGCUGAUACCGCCCAAGAGUUCAUAUCGACGGCGGUGUUUGGCACCUCGAUGUCGGCUCAUCACAUCCUGGGGCUGAAGUAGGUCCCAAGGGUAUGGCUGUUCGCCAUUUAAAGUGGUACGCGAGCUGGGUUUAGAACGUCGUGAGACAGUUCGGUCCCUAUCUGCCGUGGGCGCUGGAGAACUGAGGGGGGCUGCUCCUAGUACGAGAGGACCGGAGUGGACGCAUCACUGGUGUUCGGGUUGUCAUGCCAAUGGCACUGCCCGGUAGCUAAAUGCGGAAGAGAUAAGUGCUGAAAGCAUCUAAGCACGAAACUUGCCCCGAGAUGAGUUCUCCCUGAGACUUUAGGUCUCCUGAAGGAACGUUGAAGACGACGACGUUGAUAGGCCGGGUGUGUAAGCGCAGCGAUGCGUUGAGCUAACCGGUACUAAUGAACCGUGAGGCUUAACCUUACAACGCCGAAG
rnacentral:rRNA from 1 species